GAGACCGCAAGUUUUAUGCAUAUCAGUGGUGGCAAGUACAAAGGGCGUGUGCUGGGUGCCGGUAGUUUAUCAUCAACCUUUGUGAAAGGUCCAACCGGCUAUAUUCAGACUGAGACGUCUUCUUCUUAUGCUAGUAUGGGUCGAUCUUAUCGUCCGUCGAUAGAUAAUCUUGACCAGUUAAAGAAGCAAUGGGCAAGUGAGCAAGAAGAAAAGACACAACAGCUGAUACAAGCCGCAAUUGAUAAAUUGAAUGAGGAAUGGAAACAAAAGUUUCAAGAGCAGCA
rnacentral:lncRNA from 1 species